GUGUCAGCAGCCGCGGUAAAACGUAGGGGGCAAGCGUUAUCCGGAAUUACUGGGCGUAAAGGGCGUCUAGGCGGUUGGCUAAGUCUCGCGUGAAAGCUCCCGGCUCAACUGGGAGAGGGCGCGGGAAACUGACCAGCUAGAGACUCGGAGGGGGGUGUGGAAUUCCCGGUGGAGUGGUGAAAUGCGUUGAGAUCGGGAGGAACACCCGUGGCGAAGGCGGCACCCUGGCCGAGGUCUGACGCUGAAGCGCGACAGCGUGGGGAGCAAACGGGAUUAGAUACCCGCGUAGUCC
rnacentral:rRNA from 1 species